rnacentral:rRNA from 1 species
CGGAGAAAGAACAACAGGAUUGCCCUAGUAACGGCGAGUGAAGCGGCAACAGCUCAAAUUUGAAAUCUGGCCUCGGCCCGAGUUGUAAUUUGCAGAGGAAGCUUUAGGCGCGGCACCACCUGAGUCCCCUGGAACGGGGCGCCACAGAGGGUGAGAGCCCCGUAUAGUUGGACGCCUAGCCUGUGUAAAGCUCCUUCGACGAGUCGAGUAGUUUGGGAAUGCUGCUCAAAAUGGGAGGUAAAUUUCUUCUAAAGCUAAAUACCGGCCAGAGACCGAUAGCGCACAAGUAGAGUGAUCGAAAGAUGAAAAGCACUUUGAAAAGAGGGUUAAAUAGCACGUGAAAUUGUUGAAAGGGAAGCGCUUGUGACCAGACUUGCGCCGGGCUGAUCAUCCGGUGUUCUCACCGGUGCACUCUGCCCGGCUCAGGCCAGCAUCGGUUCUCGCGGGGGGAUAAAGGCACCGGGAACGUAGCUCCUCCGGGAGUGUUAUAGCCCGGGGCGUAAUGCCCUCGCGGGGACCGAGGACCGCGCUCUGCAAGGAUGCUGGCGUAAUGGUCACCAGCGACCCGUCUUGAAACACGGACCAAGGAGUCAAGGUUUUGCGCGAGUGUUUGGGUGUAAAACCCGCACGCGUAAUGAAAGUGAACGUAGGUGAGAGCUUCGGCGCAUCAUCGACCGAUCCUGAUGUAUUCGGAUGGAUUUGAGUAGGAGCGUUAAGCCUUGGACCCGAAAGAUGGUGAACUAUGCUUGGAUAGGGUGAAGCCAGAGGAAACUCUGGUGGAGGCUCGCAGCGGUUCUGACGUGCAAAUCGAUCGUCAAAUCUGAGCAUGGGGGCGAAAGACUAAUCGAACCAUCUAGUAGCUGGUUACCGCCGAAGUUUCCCUCAGGAUAGCAGUGUUGUCUUCAGUUUUAUGAGGUAAAGCGAAUGAUUAGGGACUCGGGGGCGAUUUUUAGCCUUCAUCCAUUCUCAAACUUUAAAUAUGUAAGAAGCCCUUGUUACUUAGCUGAACGUGGGCAUUCGAAUGUACCAACACUAGUGGGCCAUUUUUGGUAAGCA